rnacentral:rRNA from 1 species
CCUACGGGGGGCAGCAGUGGGGAAUAUUGCACAAUGGGGGAAACCCUGAUGCAGCGACGCCGCGUGAGUGAAGAAGUAUUUCGGUAUGUAAAGCUCUAUCAGCAGGGAAGAAAUAGCGACCUUUGGGUCGCCAGACGGUACCUGACUAAGAAGCCCCGGCUAACUACGUGCCAGCAGCCGCGGUAAUACGUAGGCGGCAAGCGUUAUCCGGAGUUACUGGGUGUAAAGGGAGCGUAGACGGCAGCACAAGUCUGAAGUGAAAUGCCGGGGCUUAACCCCGGAACUGCUUUGGAAACUGUGCAGCUAGAGUGCAGGAGAGGUAAGUGGAAGUCCUAGUGUAGCGGUGAAAUGAGUAGAUAUUAGGAGGAACAUCAGUGGCGAAGGCGGCUUACUGGACUGUAACUGACGUUGAGGCUCGAAAGCGUGGGGAGCAAACAGGAUUAGAUACCCUGGUAGUC